UACAGAGGUCCCAAGCGUUGUUCGGAUUCAUUGGGCCUAAAGGGUGUGUAGGUGGCGCCGUAAGUCGGGUGUGAAAUCUCGGGGCUUAACUCCGAAACUGCAUUCGAUACUGCGGUGCUUGAGGACUGGAGAGGAGACUGGAAUUCAUGGUGUAGCAGUGAAAUGCGUAGAGAUCAUGAGGAAGACCAGUGGCGAAGGCGGGUCUCUGGACAGUUCCUGACACUGAGACACGAAGGCCAGGGGAGCAAACGGG
rnacentral:rRNA from 1 species